rnacentral:rRNA from 1 species
AUUGAACGCUGGCGGCAUGCCUUACACAUGCAAGUCGAACGGUAACAGGCCUUCGGGUGCUGACGAGUGGCGAACGGGUGAGUAAUGCAUCGGAACGUGCCCAGAGGUGGGGGAUAACGCAGCGAAAGCUGUGCUAAUACCGCAUGUGAUCUGAGGAUGAAAGCGGGGGACCAGGCAGCAAUGUUUGGCCUUGCGCCUUUGGAGCGGCCGAUGUCAGAUUAGGUAGUUGGUGGGGUAAAGGCCUACCAAGCCGACGAUCUGUAGCUGGUCUGAGAGGACGACCAGCCACACGGGAACUGAGACACGGCCCAGACUCCUACGGGAGGCAGCAGUGGGGAAUUUUGGACAAUGGGCGCAAGCCUGAUCCAGCAAUGCCGCGUGCGGGAAGAAGGCCUUCGGGUUGUAAACCGCUUUUGUACGGAACGAAAAGGCUCUGGCUAAUACCUGGGGCUGAUGACGGUACCGAAAGAAUAAGCACCGGCUAACUACGUG